AUUGAACGCUGGCGGCAGGCCUAACACAUGCAAGUCGAACGAGUGGCGGACGGGUGAGUAAUGUCUGGGAAACUGCACGAUGGAGGGGGAUAACUACUGGAAACGGUAUCUAAUACCGCAUACCAUCGGAUGUGCCCAGAUUGGAUUAGCUAGUAGGUGGGGUAACGGCUCACCUAGGCGACGAUCCCUAGCUGGUCUGAGAGGAUGACCAGCCAAACUGGAACGGAGACACGGUCCAGACUCCCAAGGGAGGCAGCAGUGGGGAAUAUUGCACAAUGGGCGCAAGCCUGAUGCAGCCAUGCCGCGUGUAUGAAGAAGGCCUUCGGGUUGUAAAGUACUUUCAGCGAGGAGGCGUUAUUCGCAGAAGAAGCACCGGAUAACUCCGUGCCAGCAGCCGCGGUAAUAA
rnacentral:rRNA from 1 species